rnacentral:rRNA from 1 species
GAUGAACGCUGGCGGCGUGCCUAAUACAUGCAAGUCGAGCGAACAGACGAGGAGCUUGCUCCUUCGACGUUAGCGGCGGACGGGUGAGUAACACGUAGGGAACCUACCUAUAAGACUGGGAUAACUUCGGGAAACCGGAGCUAAUACCGGAUAAUAUUUCGAACCGCAUGGUUCGAUAGUGAAAGAUGGCUUUGCUAUAACUUAUAGAUGGACCUGCGCCGUAUUAGCUAGUUGGUAAGGUAACGGCUUACCAAGGCAACGAUACGUAGCCGACCUGAGAGGGUGAUCGGCCACACUGGAACUGAGACACGGUCCAGACUCCUACGGGAGGCAGCAGUAGGGAAUCUUCCGCAAUGGGCGAAAGCCUGACGGAGCAACGCCGCGUGAGUGAUGAAGGUCUUCGGAUCGUAAAACUCUGUUAUUAGGGAAGAACAAACGUGUAAGUAACUGUGCACGUAUUGACGGUACCUAAUCAGAAAGCCACGGCUAACUACGUG